CAAUAAUAGACACAGCAGUGACAGCACCUCGUGAUAAGCUCAGUGGGUUCACCUUAAAAUUUCUUGGUUUUCCUCCCAAAGCAACAAGAUGUUGCAAACAGCUUGCAUCUCGUUUUCAUGGCUGUUGAAUGUUGGCAACCAGAAAGAUGGACUGUUCCUAGCAUCUUUCUCGUUUCUGGUUGCCAUAUUGGGAAUUUCACUCUUGUACUCAUUUUGGAAGGCAAGGAAACCGAUGGCUCCAUUACCACCUGGUCCCCGUGGGUUGCCAAUCCUGGGGUAUCUUCCAUUUCUUGGAUUCGAUAAUCUCCAUCUGGUCUUUACGGAGUUGGGUAGAGUUUAUGGUCCCAUUUACAAGCUUUGGCUUGGGAACAAGCUAACCGUAGUAAUUAGCUCUCCAUCGCUUGUAAAAGAAGUGGUUCGUGACCAUGAUAUAGCAUUUUCAGAGCGAGAACCUCCCAUUGCUGCACAGAUUAUUACCUUUGGCUCCAGUGAUAUUGCGUUCGACUCUUACAGCAGUCCCAGCUGGAAAAACAAGCGCAAAGUUCUCGCGACCGAUAUGCUAAGCAACGCUAACCUUAAUGCUUGUUAUGAUCUACGACGAGAGCAAGUGAUGAAAAUGGUCGAGGAUGUGUAUGAAAACGUUGGCAAGCCAAUUGAUAUCGGCGAAUUGGCAUUCUGUACGUUAAUCAAUUUGAUCGGAAAGAUGGUGUGGGGAGGCGCACUCCGAGGAGAGAAAGGGACUGCGGUUGAGGGUCGCUUCAAAGAAAUUUCUUCGCAGAUGGUGGUGUUAAUUGGAAAACCAAACAUUUCCGAUAUUUUCCCCGCGAUUGCAUGGUUCGACAUGCAAGGUAUCCAGAGGGGAAUUAAGAAAAUCCGUCAAUCGUUCAAUGAACUUUUAGAGUCUGUGAUUGAACUCAGAAUGAACACGGUGACUGAGAAAGAAACGAGUGAACAAAAAUCCGACUUCUUACAAUUGCUCUUGGAUUUACACAAGAACCAAGAUAGCCCUUCAUCACUUACGAUGAAUCAAGUAAAGGGCCUUCUCAUGGACAUUGUGGUGGGUGCAACAGAUACCACUUCAACUACGACAGAGUGGGCAAUGGCAGAGCUAAUGCAACAUCCAGAAAUAAUGGAGAAAGUGAAGAAAGAAUUAACUGAUGUUGUUGGGGUAAAUGACAUCAUUGAAGAGUUUCACUUGCCUAAUUUAAGUUACCUAAGUGCAGUGAUAAAGGAGACCUUCAGAUUGCAUCCACCCGUGCCCCUUCUUGUUCCUCGUUGUUCUGCUCAAUCACUCACUGUGGGUGGCUAUAACAUACCAAAGGGUAGCAAGGUGUUUUUAAACAUGUGGUUCAUUCACACGGACCCCAAUAUUUGGGACAACCCUUCAGAAUUUCGACCCGAAAGGUUCUUGGAUGAGCCUGGAAAGUUCGAUUUUCUCGGAAAUGAUUUCCGAUAUAUGCCAUUUGGGUCAGGAAGGAGACGGUGUCCAGGCAUAACCCUAGGGGAGAAGAUGUUAUCUUUCAUAUUGGCCUCAUUGCUGCAUUCUUUUGAAUGGAAAUUGCCCCAAGGCGAACAGCUUGAUCUUUCAAGUAAAUUUGGAAUUGUUAUGAAGAAAAAGAACCAUUUACGUCUUAUUCCCAUACCGAGAUUGUCUGAUCAUGUGCUUUACAAAAAGUAAUGGUUAUAAACUAUUAUUAUAUGUAUCCCCUUUUGCGUCUUAUUCCCAUACCGAGAUUGUCUGAUCAUGUGCUUUACAAAAACAUGCAGCCAUGAAGCAGACAGCAAGCAGGCCAUGAAGAUCAAGCCAUGCAGGAGCUACUGGAACGAGAUCAACUGUUCCUAUUUUGUUCAUUUUGCAAUCUUAAGUUAAUGUAAUGUACUUUAGUUCAUUUAGAACUAUGUUAGGUUUAUGAUUGAUGUAAUUUUGAUGACAAAUGAGCUGUUAACUCAGCUUUGUUUAAGUGUGCAAGCUUAGUUUUUCAAGUUUCAAUGUAUUAGUGGUGGUAGGUGAUGAUUAGGUGACAUUAUGCAGAUUUUGACAAGCAAAUUGCUUGGUUUAUGUAUUGGCAUUAUGCCAUUGUUCAACUAUGAAUCAAAUCAGUUUAGUUUUCUUCAAAAA